rnacentral:rRNA from 1 species
GUGGGGAAUAUUGGACAAUGGGCGCAACUCUGACGCAGCCAUGCCGCGUGCAGGAAGAAGGCGCUACGCGUUGUAAACUGCUUUUAACCGGGAAGAAACCCCAGGACGUGUCCUGGGUUGACGGUACCGGAGGAAUAAGCACCGGCUAACUUCGUGCCAGCAGCCGCGGUAAUACGAAGGGUGCAAGCGUUAUCCGGAUUCAUUGGGUUUAAAGGGUGCGUAGGCGGAGCGUUAAGUCAGUGGUGAAAUCCUGCAGCUUAACUGUAGACUUGCCAUUGAUACUGGCGCUCUUGAGUGCGCUUGAAGUGGGCGGAAUGUGCCGUGUAGCGGUGAAAUGCUUAGAUAUGGCACAGAACACCAAUUGCGAAGGCAGCUCACUAAGGCGAUACUGACGCUGAGGCACGAAAGCGUGGGGAUCGAACAGGAUUAGAUACCCUGGUAUCC